GGGAUUACCUCAGUAACGGCGAGUGAAGCGGUAAUAGCUCAAAUUUGAAAUCUGGCCCUUUCAGGGUCCGAGUUGUAAUUUGCAGAGGGCGCUUUGGAGUCGGCAGCAGCCUAAGUUCCUUGGAACAGGUCAUCAUAGAGGGUGAGAAUCCCGUAUGUGGCUGCUUGCCUUCGCCGUGUAAAGCCCCUUCGAUGAGUCGAGUUGUUUGGGAAUGCAGCUCUAAAUGGGAGGUAAAUUUCUUCUAAAGCUAAAUAUUGGCCAGAGACCGAUAGCGCACAAGUAGAGUGAUCGAAAGAUGAAAAGCACUUUGGAAAGAGAGUCAAAAAGCACGUGAAAUUGUUGAAAGGGAAGCGCUUGCAGCCAGACGUGCCCGCAGUUGCUCAUCUGGGGUUCUCCCCAGUGCACUCUUCUGUGGGCAGGCCAGCAUCAGUUCGGGCGGUUGGAGAAAGACCUGUGUCACGUAGCUCUCUUCGGGGAGUGUUAUAGGGCAGGUGGAAUGCAACCAGCCUGAACUGAGGUCCGCGCAUCUGCUAGGAUGCUGGCGUAAUGGCUGUAAGCGGCCCGUCUUGAAACACGGACCAAGGAGUCUAACAUCUAUGCGAGUGUUUGGGUGUCAAGCCCGAACGCGUAAUGAAAGUGAACGGAGGUGGGAACCCCUCGGGGUGCACCAUCGACCGAUCCUGAUGUCUUCGGAUGGAUUUGAGUAAGAGCAUAGCUGUUGGGACCCGAAAGAUGGUGAACUAUGCCUGAAUAGGGUGAAGCCAGAGGAAACUCUGGUGGAGGCUCGCAGCGGUUCUGACGUGCAAAUCGAUCGUCAAAUUUGGGCAUAGGGGCGAAAGACUAAUCGAACUAUCUAGUAGCUGGUUCCUGCCGAAGUUUCCCUCAGGAUAGCAGUAACGUUUUCAGUUUUAUGAGGUAAAGCGAAUGAUUAGAGGCCUGGGGGUUGAAACAACCUUCACCUAUUCUCAAACUUUAAAUAUGUAAGAAGUCCUUGUUUCUUAAUUGAACGUGGACAUUUGAA
rnacentral:rRNA from 1 species